UACGUAGGGGGCAAGCGUUGUCCGGAUUUAUUGGGCGUAAAGAGCGUGUAGGCGGUUUGGUAGGUCCGCUGUGAAAACUCGAGGCUCAACCUCGAGACGCCGGUGGAAACCAUCAGGCUAGAGUCCGGAAGAGGAGAGUGGAAUUCCUGGUGUAGCGGUGAAAUGCGCAGAUAUCAGGAAGAACACCCGUGGCUAAGGCGGCUCUCUAGUACGGUACUGACGCUGAGACGCGAAAGCUAGGGGAGCAAACGGG
rnacentral:rRNA from 1 species